CCCAAUUUAGACCUCUUGCCUGGCUCUUAUUUUGUGGAUGACACCUGGCUGAUUCCAUAUUUGGAAUUCUAUUUCCAUACAGGAUUGAAGUUUGAUGAAGUUUGAAAUCCAAGCAAAGAAAAUGCUCAGUAACUGCAAAUGCAAGGAAAUCUGUGUUCUCUGAAGUUUGGCAUUCACCAGAAUCUGCCUGAUGCGACAUUCCUCACGUCUCCAUGCCCAAAGACCAGCCCAAGGUUCCAGCCCAGGUCAGACAUCGGAUUUAACGUUACCCUCAGUUGGACAAUUAAUUAAUUUCAAGGCUGCAUUACACUUUCCCACCUUUCGGGUAACAGCGAAAACAAGCGUAAGGGUGGAAAAUGGAAGCUAAGUGGCGCUUCUCCAACUGGGGUUCUCGAGAAGAGGACUGUGGCUGAGGGGUGUGGUCAGGAGUGCUCGGGAAUCACAGAAGAGCCUUCCAGGUCAGUGUCGGCAGGGGGAUGUGUCGCUACUCCACACCCUGGGGAGGAAGCGACACAUCUCCUCCAGUGACACCAACUGGAGACAGACCUUCAUCUCCAGGCCCUUCCCGAAAGUCUCC